GGAUAUGAGGUCCCUCUGGCUGUGGACACCUGUCAGCCCAUUGAUCACUAGGGUUGAUUCUGCUGAUCUGGUGGACUGAGUGGUAUCCCCUCCUCCCUCGUUGCUCCAAGUGCAUCUCCCCUGAAGCUAUACACUGAUAGACGAGGAUGGCCUUCUCUGAAAGAGGCAGACAUUCUUUGGUGAAGGUUUCAAGAGUAGCCGCACUCACCUGCUAGAACCUCCAAAAUGCUCUAAUGGGGCAUUUGUAGGAGAACAGGUAGUCAAGCUUCCAGAACUCCAGACACACCCAAAUGAGGUGCUGCAUGUGGCAG
rnacentral:snRNA from 1 species